rnacentral:lncRNA from 1 species
AACCACUCUGUUACAGAGACCAAGAGCACUGGGUAAGAGGGGACUCUGGCAGAAAACCUCAGUGUAGUCCUCUCAGAAUACGUUUGAGCCAUCUUCCUCCUCUAAGGAGUUUGCUGCAGACAAGAUAAACAACCAGUUUCUCAACUACAUUUCUUCCUACCUUAAAAUUUUGAAGCCAUUACGACCUGUUGUUACAGGAGACCAUCUAAGGACAUAGGGAAAGCCUGCAAUUUGUGGAAUAUCUGAUGGCUCAGCUUUCCCCUCCUUUCCUCGGAGUCAUGAUGCCAUGUUCAUAUUAAGGUGCAUUGAGAAGGGGAGAAUGAUGUAUGGCCUGCAGUCCUUCAACCUUCCAGUCAUCUCCACCCUAAGAAAGACUAGUGAUGAGUCGGCAAGCAUUAGUUGACAGAGAGUCAAAUUAUCAACAGGAUUAAAAAUAAAUAAAUAAAGUGCUCCAGCAACGCUUCCUAAGAAGACCAGCGGGAAGAGCCUACAGACGAGAACUACUCUAUACCCCAGGAGUUUCUGCUGGAAAUAUAGUUUGGUUAACUGGAAAUCCAGGGCGCUGCAGCAUUUAAAGGUAUUUCAUCCUGAAGGCAACUUUUAAGACAGGUGAAACAACAGAAACCCAUUACCAUCUUUACUUUUGGUUCCGCUGCCUCAGCCACGCCGUCCAGGUGAGGGUUAAUAAACAGAGAAAACCUGGAGAGGGUCCAAAUAAACUGAGAACUGUAAAGACGAAGCCCAACGCUGCAAACAUCUUAGCCAGAAAGAACACUCUUAGCACCCGACAAGCAGGUAUGUGCUUACCAGCAAACUAA